GAGAAAAGUUGAGAGAGAAAGGAGAAUAAGAAAGCUGUAUAUCUGGAGAGAGCUAGCGAAAGCGGCCGCGAGAAAGAGAGGAAGAGAAGACGACGGCGAGAGAGAGAGAGAGAGAGAGAGAGAGGAGAUAGCGAGGUAGAGGCCAGAGCAAGGGCGAAGGGAAGGAGAGGUGCGGGAUUCCACAGCUCCGCUCUCGGAUUGUAUCUUCUUCGAUUAUCUCCCGAGCCUCUGCCCUGCGCCUUCCAUUUGGAUUUCUCUUCGUCGGCAGCGGUUCUGUUCGCGCUUCGGUCGGCGCCCUGGCCGCGACUAGUCGUUCGAAUUUUCCAUUUCGCCGGAUCGACUGUGGCUGGCAGAAGAAUUGUUGUCUUCUGUGCUUCUCCUGCUCCGUUUGUUUGGUCGUUUUUGAGCCGGGGAGACCUCGGUUUGCUGCAUUGGCGUGGUUUCUGAGAGGGGUUUUGAGUUGAUGAAUUGGUAAGGUUGUGUAUGGGACUUGGUUUGUGAGAAAGGCGGGGUUUUGUUUCUUCGGUCUCUUGGUUGGAGGAUUUUAUGCACCUGAUGCGGAACAUUUGGGUGGGCUGAGGUACCUGAGCGAGAGGGGAGAUGGAUGAGAGUGGCGGGUCUUUUGUAGAGGUGAGGAGAAUAUCUCAGGCGCCGGAUCGAGGGAGCGUCUACCACUCGUCACCUGAGAUUAUCACAGGAUCUACUGCCUGGAUUGGAAGAGGCUUUUCAUGUGUUUGUGCUCAAAGAAGAGAAAAUGAUGUUCGUUUGUCAUUUGACCUAACACCCUCACAGGAGGAAUGCUUGCACAGAUUACAAAACAGAAUUGACAUUACCUAUGAUGGAUCCAAACAAGAGCACCAGGAAGCCUUGAGGGGCCUCUGGUACACUGCUUAUCCUGAAGUUGAACUUCGUGAUAUAAUAUCCGAACAGUGGAAGGAAAUGGGAUGGCAGGGAAAGGAUCCUUCUACAGAUUUUAGGGGUGGUGGUUUCAUAUCCUUGGAAAACCUAUUAUUCUUUGCCAGGAAUUAUCCUAAAUCAUUCAACGAUCUUCUCAGAAAGCAGGAUGGUAACAGAGCUCUUUGGGAAUACCCCUUUGCGGUUGCCGGUGUAAAUAUAACAUUCAUGCUUAUACAGAUGCUGGAUCUUCAAGUUGUGAAACCAAGGUCACUUGUUGGAGUUAUUUUUCUGAAGCUACUUUCUGUUUUAGAUCAGCGAAAAUGGUGGCUUAUCAGUAUUGGAAUUCAAUUUCAAACGUUUAUCUCUGCGUCUCAGAGAAUGACCGGGCCUUUGAUAUACUAUACUGCAUAACUUUCAAAUUGAUGGAUCAGCAAUGGCUUGCCAUGCGGGCCUCCUACAUGGAUUUCAAUAUGGUUAUGAAAUCAACACGUCGUCAGCUGGAGCAUGAGUUGCUACUGGAAGAUGUCUGCCGAGUCGAGGAUUUACCUUCCUACAGCCUUCUUACUCGCUGACUAGCACCCUCUCAGUUAACAUUUCUAGUCCCGGAAGCCACAAAACACAUCGAUUCAGCUGUUUCCUUUGUGAUUGCUCCUGCUCAAAUUUGUUAAUGCCUGCUUUUGAUUUUUCUGUGUUAUUCAUUUUGAGAUAGUAAGUUGUCUUUCACGGUCCAUGUUUUCUGGAAUAGUGUUCUCCCAAUAAUUAGUUAUUCUCCACGCAUUCUCAUCAA